CGUAACUACCUGUUCUCCGUGCAUUUCCGGCUUGAGACCUAUCCUGGGUCCUGAGAGAGCGGCGGGUUCUUGUUGUUCAGUGGAUUGCCAAAGUGUAAGGUGAAGACAGACUAAAAAGCCAAGUUCAAAACAACUUUAUAAGAGCUUUACUCUCCGCAGAAGGCGAAUGUCGCUGUGACGUGACAUAUUAGUCUUGAGCUCCUAGAGGCCGGGCAGUCAUAUGGGAUUAGGGCCCAUCGUAAUUACUUCAUCUUAACUGGAUCAUCUGCAAAGACGCUAUUUCCAAACAAGAUAAUGGGAGUUAGAACUUCAGCAUCUUUUUGGGAAAACCCGUAACUGGACAAAACCGAAAACAACAAGAGAAAAAUCGGAUACGCUGGAUGAAUGGCCACCAAUACAACUGCCUCUCCACUUGGCUCUUAAUGCACUUCAGGCAGCAGGAUCCUUCCUGAAAGUGGUGGAGACAAGGAGAUGGUGCGAGCAGAAAGGAGUUGCCCUGCCUGCACCUUUACUGGCCUGGAAGCAGAGCCUGGCUGCUCUACAUAGAAGUUGAGUUAUGGAGAACGUGGUGGCUGGGGUGGUGUGGGCCUGGGCAUGGCAUAUGUCAUGGGAAGGAGCUGGGUGAGCUGUGUUCCAGGACAUGGAGCAGGGAUAAUGUGGGCGAGGAACCUGGAGGAGGGUGCCUGAGCAAUGCCUUCCCUGCUCCUUGGGUCACUCCCAGGCACACUGCUGGCUUCACUCCUGGCUUGUCUACCUCCCUCCUUCAGGUGUCACCUCCAGUGUCUCUGGAGUCCCUGCUUUCCCAAAGAAGGCUCAAACUUCCUAAAGAGACCAUGGAUAUUGAAAACUGCAGCCAACCGCUGAAAGUUUGAAUAAAUUGUAUUCCAGAAAUUCUGCUUCUAAAAUUCAGUUCUAAAAGCAAUAAAUGUUAAUGGACACAAAUGUACCCAUAGGACAAUUUUAAGAGUG